rnacentral:rRNA from 1 species
AUUGAACGCUGGCGGCAUGCCUUACACAUGCAAGUCGAACGGUAACGGGCCUUCGGGUGCCGACGAGUGGCGAACGGGUGAGUAAUACAUCGGAACGUGCCCGAUCGUGGGGGAUAACGAGGCGAAAGCUUUGCUCAUACCGCAUACGAUCUACGGAUUAAAGCAGGGGACCGCAAGACCUUGCGCGGACGGAGCGGCCGAUGGCAGAUUAGGUAGUUGGUGGGAUAAAAGCUUACCAAGCCAACGAUCUGUAGCUGGUCUGAGAGGAUGAUCAGCCACACUGGAACUGAGACACGGCCCAGACUCCUACGGGAGGCAGCAGUGGGGAAUUUUGGACAAUGGGCGAAAGCCUGAUCCAGCCAUGCCGCGUGCAGGAUGAAGGCCUUCGGGUUGUAAACUGCUUUUGUACGGAACGAAAAGCCUUCUUUUAAUACAGGAGGGUCAUGACGGUACCGUAAGAAUAAGCACCGGCUAACUACGUG